rnacentral:rRNA from 1 species
CCUACGGGUGGCAGCAGUGGGGAAUAUUGGACAAUGGGCGCAAGCCUGAUCCAGCAACUCCGCGUGAAGGAAGAAGGCUUUCGGGUUGUAAACUUCUUUUGUCGGGGACGAAAAAAGUGACGGUACCUGAGGAAUAAGCUACGGGUAAAUACGUGCCAGCAGCCGCGGAAAUACGUAGGAGGCAAGCGUUAUCCGGAUUUAGUGGGGGUAAAGGGGGGGUAGGCGGGACAGCAAGUCUGAUGUGAAAGCUUAGGGCUCAACCCGGGGACGGCAUUUGAGACUGUGUGACUAGAGUGCUGGAGAGGCGAGCGGAAUUCCGAGUGUAGCAGUGAAAUGCGGAGAUAUACGGAAGAACACCAGUGGCGAAGGCGGAUUGCUGGGCCGUAACUGACGCUGAUGCUCGAAAGUGUGGGUAUCAAACAGGAUUAGAUACCCGAGUAGUC